ensembl:lncRNA
CGGUGUUUCAUGGCGCGCGGAGGCCUGAGCGGUGUGGAGUGAAGAGCUGACGGAUCAGCAGCAUGCUCUAGCUUAUAUCGGAGAAGACUGGCGACUACACCACAGUCGUGUUUUGCCUGCUGGAGGAUGUGGUGCUACACUUCACCCGUUUGAUGGACACGCCUCACAAAGCGCAGCACCUUUUGCAGCCCAACGUGUUUGAUGUGGACUUUGCUGGGCAUCAACGAGGUGGUAGACAACACAAAGAGCAGGCUAGAACAUCACACUAGCUCUCAGGCCCAGGCUAAGCACUUCUACAAAAAGGAAAAUGAAGGUGGAGGAAGUGGGAGGGGCUUAUGCAAAUCAGAGGGAGGCACCAGCCCUGAAGAGGCGGUGCCUCAAGAAAGCCCUGCCUCUUUUAACAGAGAGCAAAUCAUUGUUGAAGUGAACCUUAACAACCAGACCCUGAACGUUUCCAAGGGGUCAGAGGGCA